AUGUCUUGUGAUCUUGAUGGGCUGGUUGACAAGAAAGGUGGUCCAGAAGAUAUGUACGAACUCGCUCGAGAAGCUGACACAGUUAUAACUUGCAUGACGUUAAACAAUGAAUCAGUUGGGAUUGUGGCUCACAAGUUCCUGUCAGCUUUGAAAAAGGGAUCAUAUCUCAUCAAUAUUGCAGAGGGCGCCUACUGUACUAUACGGCUGUGUUUAAUCACCUUGAGUUCAUUUAAGUGGUUUAGGCAUUGA
rnacentral:rRNA from 1 species